UGAGUAACACGUAUCCAACCUGCCGUCUACUCUUGGACAGCCUUCUGAAAGGAAGAUUAAUACAAGAUGGCAUCAUGAGUCCACAUGUUCACAUGAUUAAAGGUAUUCCGGUAGACGAUGGGGAUGCGUUCCAUUAGAUAGUAGGCGGGGUAACGGCCCACCUAGUCUUCGAUGGAUAGGGGUUCUGAGAGGAGGGUCCCCCACAUUGGAACUGAGACACGGUCCAA
rnacentral:rRNA from 1 species